rnacentral:rRNA from 1 species
GGUUAAGCGACUAAGCGUACACGGUGGAUGCCCUGGCAGUCAGAGGCGAUGAAGGGCGUGCUAAUCUGCGAUAAGCGCCGGUAAGGUGAUAUGAACCGUUAUAACCGGCGAUACCCGAAUGGGGAAACCCAGUGUGAUUCGUCACACUAUCAUUAACUGAAUCCAUAGGUUAAUGAGGCGAACCGGGGGAACUGAAACAUCUAAGUACCCCGAGGAAAAGAAAUCAACCGAGAUUCCCCCAGUAGCGGCGAGCGAACGGGGAGGAGCCCAGAGCCUGAAUCAGCAUGUGUGUUAGUGGAAGCGUCUGGAAAGGCGCGCGAUACAGGGUGACAGCCCCGUACACAAAAGCGCAUGUGCUGUGAGCUCGAUGAGUAGGGCGGGACACGUGGUAUCCUGUCUGAAUAUGGGGGGACCAUCCUCCAAGGCUAAAUACUCCUGACUGACCGAUAGUGAACCAGUACCGUGAGGGAAAGGCGAAAAGAACCCCGGCGAGGGGAGUGAAAAAGAACCUGAAACCGUGUACGUACAAGCAGUGGGAGCACAGGUUUACCUGUGUGACUGCGUACCUUUUGUAUAAUGGGUCAGCGACUUAUAUUCUGUAGCAAGGUUAACCGUAUAGGGGAGCCGUAGGGAAACCGAGUCUUAACCGGGCGUUAAGUUGCAGGGUAUAGACCCGAAACCCGGUGAUCUAGCCAUGGGCAGGUUGAAGGUUGGGUAACACUAACUGGAGGACCGAACCGACUAAUGUUGAAAAAUUAGCGGAUGACCUGUGGCU